CCUGGCUUCGACGUGGGUGCGGAGUUAAUGUAGGGCAUGCCGAGCACUCCAGUUUGCUCGUAAAUCUGUCUGGAAAUCAAUUAAACGCCAACGACGAAAAGUUCGCGCUCGCCGCUUAAACCCGGCGAACCGCUCACCGGAUGGCCGAUGGUCCGGGUUGAGGGUCGCAAGAUCUGAGACAGAGCGGUCAUUUACAUUGGCUGGUUCGAUAUAGGGUCACUAUGUAUCGAAUAAGACUAAGUGACUGGCGGCCUGCGUAGCGUGCUCCUGCGCGACGAAGGCAGCGAGAUUCAAAUCAGGCGGCUACGCAUGUAGAACUACUUAAUGAAGGCUUGCG
rnacentral:tmRNA from 1 species